UGUUUUUUUUGUUUGACAAACUUCAGAUAUAUUUUAUUCCAAAGUUUUUGGACCACAUUAGUUGUAAACAAGCACUAUUAAGUGAUAUGUUGUUCACACUAAACAUUUUGGAAAAUUUAGGGAAAUAUCUGCACUCUUAUUUCAUUUCUUAUUUUGAAAUAAGGCUUGGAAAAAAAUUCCUCUAACUCUACUUUUUUGUUUUAUAACAAAUAAAAAUAAAUUACUUUGAAAUAGAAUAAAUAUCUUGUUCUUAUUUAUUACUACAUUUUUAAUUUAAAAAUAAGAAUGAAACUGAAUUACAUUGUGUAAUUAUUUAUUUUAAAAGUAAUAUAUUGAAAAUGCUCUAACUCGUCACUAAAAAUAUAUAUUAUUUUGUAUUCAAAAUCAUAUGUACAUAUAUGACGAUGUUAUAUGUAUUGACAAUAUAUAAAAUAUAAUUCAGUAUUGUAAUGUAUAUACCAAUGAGAUAUCAAUGUAAAAUAAUGAUAAAUUUUAUAAAGGGUUUGCCUUUUAAUUUGAUUAGCAAAAGAGAAGGUGACAUCGAAAACAUCAAGUAGUAAGUCGGCAUCUUAGUAGAUAGCCAUUCACGUGGUUGGAAAAUCGAACAAUCUUUAUCAAUAAUUCAUGAGAGAAGAUUUGAGUAUUUUUCUUUUUCCCUCUUUGUUUUUAUAGCAUUCUCUUUCUAACCAUUUGGCUAUAAAAAGGCCCGACAGGUCUCAGUUUCUUCCCACAUCCAAAGAUAGAGAGAUGUAAGGUAUAUAUAGUCUUAAAUCCCUGAUAGAACAAUGAUAUAUAACUAUAUGAUUCUUAAAGUUAUAUUAGUUAUACAUAUAUAUGUAUAUAUUAGACAUAUGUGUGUGCAUAUGAAAGUAGAUUUGUCAGUUGAAUUGAUUGUUCUCGACAAGCCAAGGUUUUUGAGUCUGGUCACAUGCUCUCUCUUCCAUCGAAGGUAAGAGGAGGUGACAGAAGAGAGUGAGCACACAUGGUGGCUUUCUUGCAUGCUUUUUUCAAAAUUAGGGUUUCAUGCUUGAAGCUAUGUGUGCUUACUCUCUCUCUGUCACCCCUUCUCUCUCUUUUCUUUUGAAAAUGGUUAAUUUUGUUUGGUAAAAGAUCUAUAUUUGGUUUGAUUAUUUUAAGGUUCUAUGCUUAGUUAUACUAACAUCAAAUGGAUAAAAGUAAUUUGAGGUAUCUAAGCGUAGAUAGCUCUUGUGGAAGGUUUAAUUCUGCUCCUAAGCAGCAAGCCUGGAACUUUGUCAGGGAACUGGAUUAUCAGUAACUGGUUCCUGACCAAACGACUGUGCAAAAGGUCGAAAUUUUUUGAUUAACAAAAAGCUGGACUUGAACAAAUGCCUCUGCUCGAUUUAUGCGGCCAAUCAAGUCUGACACACACUCUCACCUGAUAAAAAGAAAGAAAGAGAGGACUGUGGAAACUGUGAGAACCUUGUGUGACGAUCGGGAAUGUCGUGCUGCGAGUUUGUAUUUCAUUUUUUAUAGACAAUAUAGAUUAGUUAGCUAGUUAUAUUAAUGGGGAUAGUUUAUCGCUUGUAA